rnacentral:rRNA from 1 species
AUAGAGGCCNACCAUGGUGGUAACGGGUAACGGGGUGUUAGGGCACGACACCGGAGAGGGAGCCUGAGAAACGGCUACCACAUCCAAGGAUGGCAGCAGGCGCGCAAAUUACCCAAUCCCGACACGGGGAGGUAGUGACAAUAAAUAACAAUACGGGGUUCUUUCGGAUCUCGUAAUUGGAAUGAGUACAAUUUAAAUCUCUUAACGAGGAACAAUUGGAGGGCAAGUCUGGUGCCAGCAGCCGCGGUAAUUCCAGCUCCAAUAGCGUAUAUUAAAGUUGUUGCAGUUAAAAAGCUCGUAGUUGAAUUUCGGGGUUAGUAGGUUGGUCAUGCCUCUGGUAUGUACUGGUCUCACUGAUUCCUCCUUCCUUAUGAACCGUAAUGCCAUUAAUUUGGUGUUGCGGGGAAUUUGGACUGUUACUUUGAAAAAAUUAGAGUGUUUAAAGCAAGCUAACGCUUGAAUACAUUAGCAUGGAAUAAUGAAAUAGGACGUUCGAUCUUAUUUUGUUGGUUUCUAGGAUUGACGUAAUGAUUAAUAGGGAUAGUUGGGGGCAUUAGUAUUCAAUUGUCAGAGGUGAAAUUCUUGGAUUUAUUGAAGACAACUACUGCGAAAGCAUUUGCCAAGGAUGUUUUCAUUAAUCAAGAACGAAAGUUAGGGGAUCGAAGACGAUCAGAUACCGUCGUAGUCUUAACCAUAAACUAUGCCGACUAGGGAUCGGAUGA